GAGGCUGGCAUGGGCGGAGCCUGAUGCAGCACGCCGCGUGCGGGAUGACGGCCUUCGGGUUGUAAACCGCUUUCGCCUGUGACGAAGCGUGAGUGACGGUAAUGGGUAAAGAAGCACCGGCUAACUACGUGCCAGCAGCCGCGGUGAUACGUAGGGUGCGAGCGUUGUCCGGAUUUAUUGGGCGUAAAGGGCUCGUAGGUGGUUGAUCGCGUCGGAAGUGUAAUCUUGGGGCUUAACCCUGAGCGUGCUUUCGAUACGGGUUGACUUGAGGAAGGUAGGGGAGAAUGGAAUUCCUGGUGAAGCGGUGGAAUGCGCAAAUAUCAGGAGGAACACCAUUGGCAAAGGCGGUUCUCUGGGCCUUUCCUGACCCUAAGAAGCGAAAGCUUGGGAAGCGAACAGGCUUAAAUACCCGGGUAGUCCACCCUGUAAACGGUGGGUACUAGGUGUGGGGUCCAUUCCACGGUUUCCGUGCCGAACCUAACGCUUUAAUUACCCCGCCGGGGAAGUACGGCCGCAGGGUUAAAAUUCAAGGAAUUUGACGGA
rnacentral:rRNA from 1 species